AAGCUAAGGAAAAGUCUUGCUUGAUUGAGAAAAGAGGUUAUGAAAUGUCUUGCUCGGUUUGCUUUGGCAAAAAGAGGCUUUGAAAAGCUGAUGUUAUAAAAUGUUCUAUUUAGCUGUCAUUUUCAUGUUGGCAUGCUUGAACCUUAGCAUUCAAAGUAAAUGAGGAAAAGUAGUUGCCAAGUUCUGCGCAAAAUAUCUGCACACUCAGGUGCUCAAGAAUGAAGCUUCUUCAGCUGGUGAUUUAGGUGUUUCUAUCCAAAAAUCUUUCUUCAGAAUGGAGGAGAUGAUGCGUGGGGCAGAGAGGAUGGAGGGAGUUAGCUGUAUUGGGAGAUAAGAUAAACAUGUUUACUGGUAUGAUAGAAGACUUCAUAUGGUCUCCGAAGGCUGGUGAUUCCCAUGACCAACAAGAUGACUGGGCAUUUGAAGAGGUUUGGGGAUGCACUGUUGGUGCUCAAUGAAAUGCCAAAGAGAGAUGGAUUAUGAACCCUCUCCCUGAGCUCCCUUCUAUCCCCACACACAGUACUAGCCAGCCAGCCAGUAAGCAAGAGCAAACCGGCCAUGGUUGUCACCGGAGUAAACAGCAGCCGUGGCCUGGCGGCCGAGACCCUGGCCUUCGCCGCCCAAGUCGUCUGAGGCCGCCUCUUCAUGGUCUUCACUUGCUUGUUCAUAUUGUCGGCAUCCGGCGCCACCUACAUCUUCAGCAUCUACUCCAAGGACAUAAAGUCCUCCCUCCACUACAACCAACAGACCCUCAACACCCUCAGCUUCUUUAAGGACCUCGGCAGCAACGUGGGCGUCCUCUCCGGCCUCAUCAACGAGGUCACACCUCCCUGGGUCGUUCUCUCGAUCGGCUCCGCCAUGAACCUCUUCGGCUACCUCAUGAUCUACCUCGCCAUCACCGGCCACAUAUCUCGCCCCGUCGUCUGUCAGAUGUACGUCUACAUCUGCAUCGGGGCCAACUCCCAGUCGUUCUCCAACACCGGAGCCCUGGUCACCUGCGUCAAGAACUUCCCUGAGAGUCGAGGGAUCGUCCUCGGCCUCCUCAAAGGCUUCGUUGGGCUCAACGACGCCAUCUUCACCCAGCUGUACCUGGCUUUCUACGGGUGGGGAGAGUGAUGGGAGAGGAGGAUGUUGAUGACAACAAUGAGGAAGAGGAGGGGGGGAGAGGGGAUGAAUUUGGGG